rnacentral:rRNA from 1 species
GGCGUUAAGUUGCAGGGUAUAGACCCGAAACCCGGUGAUCUAGCCAUGGGCAGGUUGAAGGUUGGGUAACACUAACUGGAGGACCGAACCGACUAAUGUUGAAAAAUUAGCGGAUGACCUGUGGCUGGGGGUGAAAGGCCAAUCAAACCGGGAGAUAGCUGGUUCUCCCCGAAAGCUAUUUAGGUAGCGCCUCGUGAAUUCAUCUCCGGGGGUAGAGCACUGUUUCGGCUAGGGGGCCAUCCCGGCUUACCAACCCGAUGCAAACUGCGAAUACCGGAGAAUGUUAUCACGGGAGACACACGGCGGGUGCUAACGUCCGUCGUGAAGAGGGAAACAACCCAGACCGCCAGCUAAGGUCCCAAAGUCAUGGUUAAGUGGGAAACGAUGUGGGAAGGCCCAGACAGCCAGGAUGUUGGCUUAGAAGCAGCCAUCAUUUAAAGAAAGCGUAAUAGCUCACUGGUCGAGUCGGCCUGCGCGGAAGAUGUAACGGGGCUAAACCAUGCACCGAAGCUGCGGCAGCGAACGUAUCACUUAAAGCGAUUCAGCGGGUUACGAUUGACGGAGCGAAGCGACGUCAAAGCGUAUACAAAGUCGAGUCGGUUUAAGGAUACGUUCGUUGGGUAGGGGAGCGUUCUGUAAGCCUGUGAAGGUGUGUCGUGAGGCAUGCUGGAGGUAUCAGAAGUGCGAAUGCUGACAUAAGUAACGAUAAAGCGGGUGAAAAGCCCGCUCGCCGGAAGACCAAGGGUUCCUGUCCAACGUUAAUCGGGGCAGGGUGAGUCGACCCCUAAGGCGAGGCCGAAAGGCGUAGUCGAUGGGAAACGGGUUAAUAUUCCCGUACUUGGUGUUACUGCGAAGGGGGGACGGAGAAGGCUAUGUUGGCCGGGCGACGGUUGUCCCGGUUUAAGCGUGUAGGUGUGUGUUCCAGGUAAAUCCGGUUCACUUUAACACUGAGGCGUGACGACGAGGCACUACGGUGCUGAAGCAACAAAUGCCCUGCUUCCAGGAAAAGCCUCUAAGCAUCAGGUAACAUCAAAUCGUACCCCAAACCGACACAGGUGGUCAGGUAGAGAAUACCAAGGCGCUUGAGAGAACUCGGGUGAAGGAACUAGGCAAAAUGGUGCCGUAACUUCGGGAGAAGGCACGCUGACACGUAGGUGAAGUGAUUUACUCAUGGAGCUGAAGUCAGUCGAAGAUACCAGCUGGCUGCAACUGUUUAUUAAAAACACAGCACUGUGCAAACACGAAAGUGGACGUAUACGGUGUGACGCCUGCCCGGUGCCGGAAGGUUAAUUGAUGGGGUCAGCGCAAGCGAAGCUCCUGAUCGAAGCCCCGGUAAACGGCGGCCGUAACUAUAACGGUCCUAAGGUAGCGAAAUUCCUUGUCGGGUAAGUUCCGACCUGCACGAAUGGCGUAAUGAUGGCCAGGCUGUCUCCACCCGAGACUCAGUGAAAUUGAACUCGCUGUGAAGAUGCAGUGUACCCGCGGCAAGACGGAAAGACCCCGUGAACCUUUACUAUAGCUUGACACUGAACAUUGAGCCUUGAUGUGUAGGAUAGGUGGGAGGCUUUGAAGCGUGGACGCCAGUCUGCGUGGAGCCGACCUUGAAAUACCACCCUUUAAUGUUUGAUGUUCUAACGUGGACCCGUGAUCCGGGUUGCGGACAGUGUCUGGUGGGUAGUUUGACUGGGGCGGUCUCCUCCUAAAGAGUAACGGAGGAGCACGAAGGUUGGCUAAUCCUGGUCGGACAUCAGGAGGUUAGUGCAAUGGCAUAAGCCAGCUUGACUGCGAGCGUGACGGCGCGAGCAGGUGCGAAAGCAGGUCAUAGUGAUCCGGUGGUUCUGAAUGGAAGGGCCAUCGCUCAACGGAUAAAAGGUACUCCGGGGAUAACAGGCUGAUACCGCCCAAGAGUUCAUAUCGACGGCGGUGUUUGGCACCUCGAUGUCGGCUCAUCACAUCCUGGGGCUGAAGUAGGUCCCAAGGGUAUGGCUGUUCGCCAUUUAAAGUGGUACGCGAGCUGGGUUUAGAACGUCGUGAGACAGUUCGGUCCCUAUCUGCCGUGGGCGCUGGAGAACUGAGGGGGGCUGCUCCUAGUACGAGAGGACCGGAGUGGACGCAUCACUGGUGUUCGGGUUGUCAUGCCAAUGGCACUGCCCGGUAGCUAAAUGCGGAAGAGAUAAGUGCUGAAAGCAUCUAAGCACGAAACUUGCCCCGAG